rnacentral:lncRNA from 1 species
AAAACUUUGAAGUUGGAAGCAUAUUCUUGUAAAAAUAGUCUCACAAUUAUGUCUUGAAUGAAGUGUUUAUUGGUUGGAGAUAAAUUAUAAACACUGUUUGGAGCAACAGAUCAGCUCCCAAGCUUAAUAAACAUUAACAAAAAGUAAAAGGCUACUAAAGAAGAUCGCCAUUGCUGCCAAAAGUCAAUGCCUCCCUGGGAUUGUUAAAUGCUUGUUUCUUCGUUCUUGGCGAUGACCCAUCUUUGUCCGAGCCCCCCUCGCCCCUAUCCCUGAACUCACAUGAAUUUCUGUUUUGUUCGUACAUACCCUGUCCAAAAGCAUAGAAUGGUAGUUAGAUCAACAUAGAAAUGAUGUAGCCAUUUGUUUUAUAUAAUAUGUAGUAACUUGGCAUUAUAACCAACAUGUUCAUUCAUGGCAUCACCACUAUCAUCCGAGAAUGGAUAAUAUUUUACAAUGUACAAGUCAAAUUUCUUGAUAAUAGUAUUGUGCCUGCUCAUCCUGCUGCGGUUAUAAAAUGGUUUUUGUUUAUAUGUCAAUGACAUAAUGGUAAAAUAAUAAUAAGUAAAUAAAAGAACAUACCUUCGUGUCUGUAUUAGCACGGUCCUGUAUCAUUCAAUUACCAGUAUUCAAAAGAAUGUGACCGAACUAAAUGUAAGAGUGCUUGCUGGUAGGUGAACUACAUAAUCCAAUUACUAACUCCCAUACUGCUACAUUCAACUACUAGCUGAGAAGAAAAGGUUGAUUACACUUCAGUUUUGUAAUCUAUGAUUUUGUUGCUUCCAAAUAAAAAUGUAAUAUCUGAAAAGAUUUAAUCUUUUCUUAUGAAGCAAGAGGCACCAGAAAUUUUAAGACAUAACAAUAAAAUAAUCCUAGUAGAUCAACUUCAGUACUGACCACUACUGCUACUGCUUCUGCAAUUCAAGCUAUCGAGAUAGUUCAAGCUAGCUUGUUGUGGAAUUUAGUUGGGCAUGACACUGCAAUGCAGAAAGUUCAGGUUGGUUGCAAUCCACGAUAGACAAACAGGUACAUGAUUACGACCUACAUGAUUUCCUUGACUUUUAACCACUUAUUUCCUUGGAGUCUCAACCAUUUCCUUUUGAUUUAGAUUAUUUUUUUGGAUAAUUCUGUGGUAAUUUCUUUUACAUUUUGAGUACAUGAACAGUAACUAAUAGUGAUUUUACUUCUUAUACUAACCAUCUUUAUGCUAGAUCUACAAUUGUGAAUUUAGUGAUAUAAACUCUACAAAAAUUAACAGUAACUAAUCGCCUACUAGUUACUGAUAAUUUUCAACACUUGUAAUAUUCCUCUUGUAUCUCCUGUUAUCUGGGCUACUCUUGUUAUGUAGUACACAUAUGUGGAGUUUCUAGUGCUGUAGAAUUAUUUUUGCCAUGGAAGCACAUCAGUGUCAUGAUUCAUGCCAUUCUGGUAUAAGAUGAACUAAAGCUUAUUCAACAACUCAGCAAAUGAAAAUAUUGCAUCCUACUUCUACAGAUUAUGUGUUCUGUUAUCAUAAUGAAACAAGACCUCAUUGAUGUGUUUAUACUUUCUACUCGAAGCUGCAGACCAUCCAGAGAAUAUGCUAAUUGAAGAACAAAGGGGAGAACUUGAAGCUUUUAUGCUAAUUUGAAGAGGGGGUUUACCUUAUUGUAGAUUGUUACAAAUUCUUCUCUG